rfam:Heligmosomoides polygyrus genome assembly, scaffold: HPBE_scaffold0000114
GCGCCGGUGGUGUAUAGCGAACAUCGCUGCCCGGAAAGCAGAAGAUGCGGGUUCGAUUCCCGUCUGGCGCA